CCUACGAGUGGCUGCAGUGAGGAAUAUUGGUCAAUGGGCGCGAGACUGAACCAGCCCAGUAGCGUGAAGGAUGACUGCACUAAGGGUUGUAAACUUCUUUUAUCAAGGAAUAAAGUGAGGGACGUGUGCCUUUUUGUAUGUACUUGAUGAAUAAGGAUCGGCUAACUCCGUGCCAGCAGCCGCGGUAAUACGGAGGAUCCGAGCGUUAUCCGGAUUUAUUGGGUUUAAAGGGCGUGGAGAGGGGUUGUUAAGUCAGGUGUGAACGGGUGCGGCUCAACCGUAAACUUGCCUGUGAUACUGGCAGUCUCGAGUGUAGUUGAGGUAUGCGGAAGGUGCGGUGUAGCGGUGAAAUGCAUAGAUAUCGCGAAGAACUCCGAGUGCGAAGGCAGCAUACUAA
rnacentral:rRNA from 1 species